CCUGGACACUGUUCACU
rnacentral:miRNA from 1 species